CAGUCGCCGCGGUAAUACGUAGGUGGCAAGCGUUGUCCGGAAUUAUUGGGCGUAAAGGGCUCGCAGGCGGUUUCUUAAGUCUGAUGUGAAAGCCCCCGGCUCAACCGGGGAGGGUCAUUGGAAACUGGGAAACUUGAGUGCAGAAGAGGAGAGCGGAAUUCCACGUGUAGCGGUGAAAUGCGUAGAGAUGUGGAGGAACACCAGUGGCGAAGGCGACUCUCUGGUCUGUAACUGACGCUGAGGAGCGAAAGCGUGGGGAGCGAACAGGAUUAGAUACCCGCGUAGUCCCUGUCUCUUAUCA
rnacentral:rRNA from 1 species